AGAAUCAACGCUGGCGGCGUGCCUAACACAUGCAAGUCGAACGAGAAAGGGGUAGCAAUACCCUGAGUAAAGUGGCGCACGGGUGAGUAACACGUGACUAACCUACCUUGAGUGUGGGAUAACUGAGGGAAACCUUAGCUAAUACCGCAUAAUACCCACGGGUCAAAGGAGCAAUUCGCUCGAGGAGGGGGUCGCGGCCGAUUAGUUAGUUGGCGGGGUAAUGGCCCACCAAGACGAUGAUCGGUA
rnacentral:rRNA from 1 species